AGCGGCUGGUGCGCCCUGGGGUCCCUGCGCCCCGCACCGCGCACGCGGGAGGAGCCCCCAGGGCAGCGUCGGUCCCCGCGGGGUGUCACCCCGUGCCCCUUGGGGUGAGGGGAGGGCGGAAAGGAAGAGCCCGGGAAAGGAGAAAGAUUUAAAAUAGUCGGCGGAGAGGAGAGGGGGCAGGGAACCGGGGACACAGCGUUCGCACAAACCCCGGUUCUGAUUUCAAGUGAAGACAAGACCCACGCUGCUGCGCCCGCGCAGACCUCUGCUCCACACAUUGCCAGCUCCAAAGGCCAAAUUCAAAGAAAAGAACGGAAAAAGAAAAAAAAAAUAGCGAAAGCCGGGACUACCACCUAUCUUCUCCCCUGCGUUCUUCGGGCAAAUUGGAGAGGCGGGCGCUGCGCUGGGGAAAGUUUGUCCCACCCGCAUUUCGCAGCUGGCUGCGAGCGGAGGAGGAGGAGGAGCGGGAAAGCAGAGCUCGGAGCCUGCGGCCGCAGGGAGAGCCAGCGCCGCGCUUACCUCGCAGUCCUCGUACUUGAUAUUAUCCGUCAGUUUCCAAAGCAUUUUCAUGGAUCGGCGUGAACGGAUUUGCCCCCUUCUCCGCCUCGCACCCAAGUGGAGCUACUCUCUGGCUCUUUACCAACAGCCUAAUCGCCUCAUUAGCAUAUCAACAAUAGUCCAAUUGCUCGCCAGCACCUGCAGUCUGCGGCCGGCCGCUCCGACCCAGGUAUAAAGGCCUCUCCGAGCCGCGAACUUGCUCCUAGAGCGCACGCCCGCCUGCGAGCCGACGAAAUCUCCCCUGAGACCUGCCGUGCGCCCGGGCCCCGGCCACCCCCGGUCCCCGCCGCCGCGCCAUUCCACCCCAGUCCUCUCCCCCUCCGUCUCCUCCUCCAGGGAGAUGCCAUCCGCAAGGGCCCGGCGCUGUGCAGGGUCCGCGCCGCUGCGCCUGGGGCCCGCCUUUCAGCACCUCUCCCUCACCCCUGCCCGCGCUAACCGCGCUGUCCUUUCGGCCCCGUCCAAUUUUAUUAGAAAUUAUUAUCCCUUUCGCAAUUAAAUAUAAUCAUCAAACCGAGACCGGCAAAGUCACUCCAGGAUUUUUGCCCAACAAGAGAUCGCCUCCGCUCGCUGCAGCCACCACCUCGGGCCCCAGCGCCU